CGUAGGGUGCGAGCGUUAAUCGGAAUUACUGGGCGUAAAGCGUGCGCAGGCGGUUUUGUAAGCCAGAUGUGAAAGCCCCGGGCUCAACCUGGGAAUGGCAUUUGGGACUGCAAGGCUUGAGUGCGGCAGAGGAGACUGGAAUUCCUGGUGUAGCAGUGAAAUGCGUAGAUAUCAGGAGGAAUACCGAUGGCGAAGGCAGGUCUCUGGGCUGACACUGACGCUCAUGCACGAAAGCGUGGGGAGCAAACAGGAUUAGAUACCCUGGUAGUCCACGCCCUAAACGAUGUCGACUGGUUGUUGGGGGUUUGACACUCUCAGUAACGAAGCUAACGCGUGAAGUCGACCGCCUGGGGAGUACGGCCGCAAGGUUA
rnacentral:rRNA from 1 species